rnacentral:rRNA from 1 species
UACGAAGGGGGCUAGCGUUGCUCGGAAUCACUGGGCGUAAAGCGCACGUAGGCGGCUUUUUAAGUCAGAGGUGAAAUCCUGGAGCUCAACUCCAGAACUGCCUUUGAUACUGGAGAGCUUGAGUCCGGGAGAGGUGAGUAGAACUGCGAGUGUAGAGGUGAAAUUCGUAGAUAUUCGCAAGAACACCAGUGGCGAAGGCGGCUCACUGGCCCGGUACUGACGCUGAGGUGCGAAAGCGUGGGGAGCAAACAGG